rnacentral:tRNA from 1 species
UGGGGUGCAGCUCAGUGCUAAGCACCCGCCUGGCGCGUGUGAGGUUCUGGGAUCAAUCCCCAGCACCACAG